GCCGAUGUAGCUCAAUUGGUAGAGCAAUUGCUUCGUAAGCAAUAAGUAAGAGGUUCAAAUCCUCUCAUCGGCU
rnacentral:tRNA from 1 species